AUGGGUCCUGGGCCUCCUCACUUUGUGUCCCUUUUUCUCUUUGGAGCAGGUCUUGUGGGUGCUAUGGUCAUUCAGAACCCACGAUACCGGGUUACCAGGGUGGGAAAACCAGUGAAUCUGAGUUGUUCUCAGAAUCUGAACCAUGAUGCCAUGUAUUGGUACCAACAAAAGCGGAAUCAAGCUCCAAAGUUGUUAUUCUAUUAUUAUGAUCAAGAACUUAACAAGGAAGCGGACACCUCUGACAACUUCCAGUCCAGCCGGCCUAAUACUUCUUUCUGCUCUCUUCACAUUCACUCACCAGGCAUUGAGGAGUCUGCCAUGUACCUGUGUGCCAGUAGCAGGGACACAGAGCUGCAGGGUUGCCGCCUCUCUGUUCAUAAACCUCUUUGA